CCCCGGCCGCGCCUGCGCUCUGUCAGCCCCGCCUCCGGCUCCUAGAGUGCGGAAGUGACCGGGAGCGCCCUCUUCCCGCAGGGUCUGCCCGGGUGCGCCGCCCCCUUAGCUUCCAACCCGCCUCUGGUCUCACGCGGCCCUUCCCCAGCAGCUCUUGCCCCAGAGGCGGGGACCCUGCCGCUCUCCCUGGUGCUGGAGCCCCCCGAGCGGCUCGAUAGCCUCGUUUGGGAGCCGCGGCUCGCUACGGGAAUUCGAUCGUUCCCCGCCCGUUAAACGUCUGUCCCCUUCCCCCGUUGCCGUGGAGCGGGCCCGGAGCCCGCCAUGCCCGCCGCGGCGGCAGCGCCGAUUAUCCGCUGCGUGCAGAAGCUGGUGCUGUACGAGACCAGAGCUCGGUAUUUUCUUGUUGGGAGUAAUCAUGCAGAGACCAAGUAUCGUGUUUUGAAAAUUGAUCGCACUGAACCAACGGAUUUAGUUAUAAUUGAUGAUAAGCAUGUGUACACACAACAAGAGGUGAGGGAACUUCUUGGCCGCCUAGAUCUGGGAAAUAGAACAAAGAUUGGACAGAAGGGCUCAUCUGGGUUAUCUCGAGCUGUCUCUGCUUUCGGUGUCGUAGGUUUUGUUAAAUUUUUAGAAGGCUACUACAUUGUGUUAAUAACAAAAAGGAGAAAGAUGGCAGAUAUUGGAGGGCAUGCAAUAUACAAAAUAGAAGAUACAAAUAUGAUCUACAUUCCAAAUGACACUGUACGAAUCACUCAUCCUGAUGAAGCAAGAUAUCUACGAAUCUUUCAAAAUGUGGACCUGUCUAGCAAUUUUUAUUUUAGCUACAGCUAUGAUCUGUCACACUCUCUUCAAUAUAAUCUUACCAUCCUGAGAAUGCCACUUGAGAUAUUAAAAACUGAAACAAUUCAGACUCGACAGGAGAGCUUUGAUAUCUUUGAAGAUGAGGGACUUACAGCACAAGGUGGAAGUGGUGUAUUUGGGGUUUGCAGUGAACCAUAUAAGAAGUACGUGUGGAAUGGUCAACUGCUGGAUGUAGUAAAAAACACUGUUCAUCAUGACUGGCUGUUGUAUGUUAUUCAUGGAUUUUGUGGGCAGUCCAAACUGUUAAUAUAUGGUCGUCCAGUGCAUGUCACUCUGAUAGCCAGAAGAUCAAGCAAAUUUGCUGGAACACGUUUUCUAAAGAGAGGAGCAAACUCUGAGGGGGAUGUUGCUAAUGAAGUAGAAACUGAACAAAUACUUUGUGAUGCUUCGGUGAUGUCAUUUUCUGCAGGGAGCUAUUCUUCUUACGUUCAAGUUCGAGGCUCAGUCCCUCUAUACUGGUCUCAAGAUAUUUCAACUAUGAUUCCCAAGCCACCAAUUACAUUGGACCAAGCAGAUCCAUUUGCGCACAUAGCUGCACUUCACUUUGAUCAAAUGCUUCAGAGGUUUGGCUCUCCCAUUAUCAUUUUGAAUCUUGUCAAGGAACGUGAAAAAAGAAAGCAUGAAAGGAUUCUGAGUGAAGAACUUGUUGGUGCAGUGACAUAUCUCAAUCAAUUUUUACCCCCAGAACAUGCUAUUGUGUAUAUUCCUUGGGAUAUGGCCAAAUACACAAAAAGCAAACUGUGUAAUGUCCUGGAUAGAUUGAAUGUAAUUGCGGAAAGUGUAGUGAAGAAAACAGGAUUCUUUGUAAAUCGUCCUGAUUCCUACUGCAGCAUCUUGCGGCCAGAUGAAAAAUGGAAUGAACUGGGAGGUUUUGUUGUUCCCACUGGUCGCUUACAGACUGGUGUUCUUCGAACCAAUUGUGUUGACUGUUUAGAUCGCACUAACACAGCCCAGUUCAUGGUGGGGAAGUGUGCUUUAGCCUAUCAGCUCUAUUCUUUGGGGUUGAUUGAUAAACCCAAUCUGCAAUUUGACACAGAUGCUGUUAGAUUGUUUGAGGAGUUGUAUGAAGAUCAUGGAGACACACUUUCUCUGCAAUAUGGAGGUUCUCAACUUGUUCAUCGAGUAAAAACCUACAGGAAGAUAGCACCAUGGACCCAGCAUUCCAAAGAUAUUAUGCAGACGCUCUCAAGAUAUUACAGUAAUGCUUUUUCAGAUGCUGACAGGCAAGACUCAAUUAACCUAUUUUUGGGAGUAUUCCAGCCUGCAGAAGGAAAACCUCAUCUUUGGGAACUUCCUACAGAUUUUUACUUGCAUCACAAGAACACUAUGAGUCUAUCACAGACAAGGCGAAGCUAUACCUACUGGUGGACACAAGGUGUAUUAAAUCAUUUACCACUGCCUUAUGAUGAGGUGACAUGCACUGAAAACAGAAGGAAGUUGAUAGUGAAGAAAUUUCACAAAUAUGAAGAAGAGAUUGAUAUUCACAAUGAGUUCUUUCGGCCAUAUGAAUUAAGCAGUUUUGAUGACACCUUUUGCUUGGCAAUGACCAAUUCUAUACGAGAUUUCAUGCCCAAGAAUGUUGGAAUUGAUCCAAGUCCAUUUACAGUGCGGAAACCUGAUGAAACUGGGAAAUCAGUGGUGGGAAGCCAGCCCCCUUGACUCCGGCACCAAGCCAGGUGCCUUUGAGUCCAGUGCCUGAAGGAGUGCCUUCUACAUCUCAAUAUCAACCCGCUGGAAGCUUUUGCAGUAGCAAGAGAUCUGAUGAGCCUUUUGGUACAGGUACCUCUGAUGGUGCAGAAGACUGCGCUCUCGGUAUCAGCAGACAGAUGGGCAUGAGCAGCAUCAGUGCAGCACUCAGUACCAAGACUUCAUUUAUCUCAGCCUUCACGCACUGAAGGAGAAGCCUACAGUGUUGGCUGUACUACAUCCUACUCUGACACCGUGCUGGUCUCUGGCACCAUCAGGAGCAGCUCCCCCUUGAUCAGCAAAGGGAGAUUCGUUGUCCUCUGAAUCAGAGAUUGGCUUCUACAUUUCCCAGCCUUGUAGCUGGUCUUACUACCCUAAUAGGGACUUUCUGGCAGGAGUACCAUCAGGCAUAUGGCUGGGUGGUUGCAGUGUCAUUGGGACUCACUACUAGUCCAGUAGUCUUUUUGGAACCCGGGGGGGUUCCCUUCCCCCGUAUCCAGUCUGUAUACAUGGCAUUUCUGUUCUGUGUCUUCAGAGAGGAAUGGGGAGUCUACUGAACAGGCACCACCUGAUAUGGCAGUCAUAUUUCUGAAGGGUCUAGAUAGGCUGUAUUCUCAGAUAAGCAGCUCUCUCCACCUCCCACCCCGGGACUUGAACAUAGUUCUAUGAAAGCUCAUGAGGCCUCAGUUUGAGCCUCUAGCACAUACUGCACCUAUCACUGAAGGUGGCUUUUUUAGUAGCUAUCACUUCAGCCUGGAGGGUGGCUGAACUUCGUGAUUAACAUCUAAACCACUUUAUAUAAUGGUCUUUAAGGACAAAAUAUACUUGCACCCUCAUCUGAGAUUUCUCUCCUAGAGUCUCAUUUUCAUAGAAACCUGUAGUUUACUAACCUACAUUUUUACCCAAAACCACAUGCCAAUAGAAAGAAGCAACACCUCCACUCUUAGAUGUUAGGAGAGCUUUGUCAUUUUAGGACAGGACUAAACAGUUCAGUUUGUCAACUCGACUAUUUGUGGCCUUUGCAGACAGAAUGAAGGACCUCCCAAUCUCUUCCCAAAGAAUUUUCUUGGAUAAUUUCUUGCAUUUGUGUAUGUUACAGUUUGGCAGGCAUUUCCCUGCUGAGCAAAGUGAUUGUACAUUCCACAAGAUUGCAAGGGUUCUCCGUGGCAUUCUUUGCACAAGUUCCUAUCCAAGUAAUUUGUAGAAUGGUGACUCGAUCUUCAGUCCACACCUUUGCAUCCUGUUCUUGCCAUCACUCAGUACUUAGAUGAUGCUAAAUUUGGACAAGCUGUACACCAGUCUGUGUGUGCAUGAACUCUGAUGCCUCCUCCUACUGUACCGCUUGUGACUCAAAAAAAGUGGAAUGCACAUGUGCAAUCACCCGAAGAAGAAAAAUGGUUAUUAACCUUCUGUAACUGUUCUUCAAAAUGUGUUGUAAAUGUCCGUUCCACAACCUGCCCUCCUAUCUCUCUGCAUUGGAGUUGUCCAGCAAGAAGAAACUGAGGAGGCUUGGAGAUGGCUGGGCCCUUUAUACCAGCAUGCAAUGGUGUAUGACAACAAAGGGUACUCAAGCCACCCGGAUGGGUACCGCUGAGGGAAAAAAAAUUCUGACUUUUUGAGAGGUGUGCACACACUACCAGGAGUGGAAUGGCAAAAGAACAACAGUUAUGGAAGAUGACCAAUCUGACUGUCUCACAUUCCAUGCAUUUGGGAAGUUAUUCUGUCUUCACACUGCUGAGGUCACUGUUCAGAUUUUGUGUUAGAGUGCUAGUUUGAUGAACAUGGAGUUUGUAUUGCUUUUUGGUAUCUAUUGAAGAUGGAAGAGAAAAGGUCUUUUGGAGUGUUGUAGUGUGGUACAGUACACAAUGCUAUCAAUAUGAAGGUGGAAAGGAACGUACAAGUCAUUCCCUUAACAUCUUAUUUCCAUUCUGUUACAUUUUUGAAAGGAGGGGGUAUGUCCUGCCACAGUCCUAACUGCCUCUAAAUAUAGUUUUUGUUUUCUAAUAUUCUAGAAAAGUUAUUGGAAAUAGAAUGAAAUAAUUCAUUUGGAGUCAGUCAGAACUAUGGAUAGUCACUGUCUUUGAAAAUGAGGCUACUUAUUUAGUUGUCUCGCUUCUAAGUAUUCAAGUUUGAAAAUGUUGACCUUGGGGCCUUCAUAUUCAUAUCAUUCCCAUUAUUGGAACUUCAAAUAUUCUAAUCUUUUAAUGAAGUGUUAAUUGGCAAAGAUAGGAGAGACUGGAAUUUAGGGUCUUGACUUAAGAUAUAAAGCAUAAGGGUGAAAGGGGAAAAAAUUUCCUGUUCUUUCAAAAUAAGGGCCCGAUGAGUUGCAUAAUCUAGUAGAUUUUGCUCUUUUGCUCUUUCCCAUUUUUGUAUUAGGCAGUUCCAAGCUAAUUUGAUUCUCUCCUCUUUAAGGUAGUAUAUGUCAGUGUCCGCAAACAAAGAAUACAUUGUUCAGACAUUUCUCUGAGGUCUCAUACAUUUGGCAUGGGACAUCAACUACAGAGCUGCACACAGUUAAUGUUUUAUUUUCUAAAGGAACAGUGGCUACUGGUUGAAAAAGGCACUUUACCUUCAUUUGAUCCAAUAGACUUUAACAUUUCAAUGAGGCAUCUCUGAACUGUGUAUUGUUUUGCCAAUUUCCUCCUUGAAUUUUUUGUAAUUUUACUUAUUAAAUCGUUUGACUCUGUA